GAUGAACGCUGGCGGCGUGCCUAAUACAUGCAAGUCGAGCGAACGGACGCGAAGCUUGCUUCUCUGAUGUUAGCGGCGGACGGGUGAGUAACACGUGGAUAACCUACCUAUAAGACUGGGAUAACUUCGGGAAACCGUAGCUAAUACCGGAUAAUAUUUUGAACCGCAUGGUUCAAAAGUGAAAGACGGUCUUGCUGUCUCUUAUAGAUGGAUCCGCGCUGCAUUAGCUAGUUGGUAAGGUAACGGCUUACCAAGGCAACGAUGCAUAGCCGACCUGCGAGGGGGAUCGGCCACACUGGAACGGAGACGCGGUCCAGACUCCUACGGGAGGCAGCAGUAGGGAAUCUGCCGCAAUGGGCGAAAGCCUGGCGGAGCAGCGCCGCGUGAGUUAUGAAGGUCUUCGGUUCGUAAUACUCUGUUAUUGGGGAAGAACAUAUGUGUAAGUAGCUGUGCACAUCGUGACGGUACCUAAUCAGAAAGCCACGGCUAACUACGUG
rnacentral:rRNA from 1 species